rnacentral:rRNA from 1 species
GAGUUUGAUCAUGGCUCAGGANGANCGCUGGCGGCAUGCUUUACACAUGCAAGUUGAACGAAUUAAAGUUUUCGAAUUUUAGUUAAGUAGCGAACGGGUGAGUAAAACGUAAGAAUCUAUUUUUAGGUGAGGAAUAACUAAUGGAAACGUUAGCUAAUACCUUAUAAACUGAGAAGUGAAAAACUAAAAAUUGCCUAAAAGUGAGCUUGCGCCUGAUUAGCUUGUUGGUAAGAUAAUCGCUUACCAAAGCGACGAUCAGUAGUUGAUCUAAGAGGAUAAUCAACCACACUGGGACUGAGAUACGGCCCAGACCUCUACGGAGGGCAGCAGUGAGGAAUUUUCCGCAAUGGGCGAAAGCCUGACGGAGCAAUGCCGCGUGAAGGAUGAAGGCCUAUGGGUCGUAAACUUCUUUUCUUAAUGAAGAAAUAAGACGGUAAUUAAGGAAUAAGCAUCGGCUAACUCCGUGCCAGCAGCCGCGGUAAUACGGAGGAUGCAAGCGUUAUCCGGAAUUAUUGGGCGUAAAGGGUUUGUAGGCUACUUUUUAAGUCUACUGUUAAAGAAUAAGACUUAACCUUAGAAAAGCAGUAUGAAACUAAAAGGAUAGAGUUCAGUAGGGGUAGAGGGAAUUCUCGGUGUAGUAGUGAAAUACGUAGAUAUCGAGAGGAACACCAAUAGCGAAAGCACUCUACUAGGCCGUAACUGACGCUAGAAACGAAAGCUAGGGGAGCCAAUGGGAUUAGAUACCCCAGUAGUCCUAGCUGUAAACGAUGGAUACUAAGUAUUGGAUAAUAAAAAAUUCAGUGCUGUAGCUAACGCGUUAAGUAUCCCGCCUGGGGGAGUAUGCCCGCAAGGGUGAAACUCAAAGGAAUUGACGGGGGCCCGCACAAGCGGUGGAGCAUGGGGGUUUAAUUUCGAUGCCACGCGAAAAACCUUACCAGGAUUCGACAUCCCAUAUUUUUUUUCUAGAAAUAGAAAAACUGACNUGGANACAG